rnacentral:rRNA from 1 species
UUGAACGCUGGCGGCAGGCCUAACACAUGCAAGUCGCGCGGAUGAAGGGAGCUUGCUCCUGGAUUCAGCGGCGGACGGGUGAGUAAUGCCUAGGAAUCUGCCUGGUAGUGGGGGAUAACGUCCGGAAACGGGCGCUAAUACCGCAUACGUCCUGAGGGAGAAAGUGGGGGAUCUUCGGACCUCACGCUAUCAGAUGAGCCUAGGUCGGAUUAGCUGGUUGGUGGGGUAAAGGCCUACCAAGGCGACGAUCCGUAACUGGUCUGAGAGGAUGAUCAGUCACACUGGAACUGAGACACGGUCCAGACUCCUACGGGAGGCAGCAGUGGGGAAUAUUGGACAAUGGGCGAAAGCCUGAUCCAGCCAUGCCGCGUGUGUGAAGAAGGUCUUCGGAUUGUAAAGCACUUUAAGUUGGGAGGAAGGGCAGUAAGUUAAUACCUUGCUGUUUUGACGUUACCAACAGAAUAAGCACCGGCUAACUUCGUG